rnacentral:rRNA from 1 species
UACGUAGGGGGCAAGCGUUGUCCGGAUUCAUUGGGCGUAAAGAGCGUGUAGGCGGCCAGGUAGGUCCGAUGUGAAAACUGGAGGCUCAACCUCCAGCUGUCAUUGGAAACCCUCUGGCUAGAGUCCGGAAGAGGAGAGUGGAAUUCCGAGUGUAGAGGUGAAAUUCGUAGAUAUCAGGAAGAACACCAAUGGCGAAAGCAGCUCUCUGGGACGGUACUGACGCUGAGACGCGAAAGCGUGGGGAGCGAACAGG